ACCAGUGUGAUAUAAUGGUUUAAGUGUUGGACUAGGACUCUGAAGACCAGGGUUCAAAUCUCUGCUCAGCCA